rnacentral:lncRNA from 1 species
ACCGAUCAAUUUAUUUCCUUCCCUGGGAAUGAGGGUGUAGUAUGAAUUUCCAAAGGAAAAACGCUCAUUUUUGGUCUUUUAUCUUAAGCAGGCAGACAGGUGCCGGGCACGUGCCUGGCAGAUGCCCUUCAUGGCUAGUUCCCAGGUACGGGCAGGGACCUCGCAUGGCUGUGGUUACCCUGGGCUGGCAGGGGGCAGUCAGAGCUCUUUCCAUUUCCCACAAUUGCCUGGCCACCUAGGUCUAAAAUGCAGAGAGAGGACGUGCAGGGGGUGGCUCUGGAGUUACAAAGCUGCCCCUGAAGCCUGCUGGACGGGACACGGGUCGAGGGAAGGACAUUUCUCCAUUCAGGUAUUACGUGUGGGGCUGAGAGAGCUGGCCACUAGCUCGGGACUCCAAAAACCAGGUUGAAAAGCAAGGCUUCCUCACGUUCUGUGAAAGGGAUGGCUGGGUUCAGUGUCCACGUAAAACAAAUCCCAACUGGUUGAAUACGAACUGAUUUCAAGAAUGGGUAAGACAGAUGGGAAAUAGAUAUAUAUAUAUUUCCCAUCUGUCUUACUAGUACAUAUACAUUUGUAUUGGGAAAUAUAUAUAUAAAUUUAUAUGGUUGGUACCAGCGGAAGAAAAAUGAAGAUAAAACCAAAACCUCAAGUUAAGUGUCCCAUCCUAUGAAACAUCUCCCUGGGAAAAAUUAUUCUCAAGUAAACUUUUAUUCUCUGGUGCAUUCUUAGGAGUUUACAUUGGCUUCUGAAACUUCCUAAUCAGCCCCAACCUCCGACUCCCUCUGGUUCCACUGAACGAGAGGCCUGCUAACCGUGCCUCAGUUCACUCUUCUCAGUAGCCAAAGGGUCCCUGCUCUCAAAACAUGAAUGCUCUAACCCGAGGCAGGGACAUAGAGACACACGUGUGCAAGGGCCCACUGGGACUGUGCGUAUAUCUGGGAAUUCAUUUCCUGGGGAGAAGGAAAGGUGAUGGGCAGGCUGGCUGAGGAAAGGUUAGGGAACAGGAGCCCCAAACUCCCCAGAGGCCUGGGGAGGAAGGGGCCCCCCGAAACUUUAACAAAAGGCAAGUUUUGAAUCUGGUUGUUGAUAACAAGAAUUGAAAUGUCCUAGACCCUGUGUGAGAAACGCACCACACGGAGGAGAGGUCUUGAGGAAAGGCCCUGUCGCGUUUCACGUGGCACGCCCUGGAUCUCUUGCCGUAACAGUGGCUCAAAAGAAAAUGCACCAGAGUAAUGAUGCUGUGGGCUCUAAGGGUCUCCGCAAAGACGCACCCCCCUCAUAAGCGGAUUCUAGUCUCUGGGUUUCACUGCCAGCCUGCCCCAGAGCAGUGCUUGGCCCAACACCCUGCCAACGGGGUGAGCGGGCUUACAAACCGCUCAUGCGUGAAGGUUACGUAAAAACAAGCCGCCCAGCUCCCCUGCAGGCAGGCGGAUGGACAAACGGCACUGCUGGGACCCUGCUUGGCCAUGGGGGAAGGACACACACAGCCUGGGUGAGUCCCCGAAUCACUGUACCGAGUGGAAGAUGUCAGAGGAAACCACGUACGCACUGCAGGAGGCCAUUAUGCAAAGCUCUAGAAGAUGCAAAUUAACCUACAGUGACUGAAGGCAGAAAGAAAACAAAAAGCAGCCCAAGGCGAAAAAGUCGAUCCUGUGCCCUGAGCACAGGCAGUCCUGAGGUGCGAGCGGUUUCCCACCAGGCUCUUCUUGGCCUUUCGAGAACUUCAGCCCCUCUCUGCUGUUUCCUGUUGCUGGCAUCCACUUUCCCAUCUCACAAUAUUUUCUCCUGUCUGGUCUCCUGUAUCUGAAACCCACUGCUACGGGAUCUCCCCUCUUUCUGGAAAAUGUUCAUUAAACAGGAAACAAACCCA